rnacentral:rRNA from 1 species
GAUGAACGCUGGCGGCGUGCUUAACACAUGCCAGUCGAACGGAAAGGCCCAAGCUUGCUUGGGUACUCGAGUGGCGAACGGGUGAGUAACACGUGGGUGAUCUGCCCUGCACUUCGGGAUAAGCCUGGGAAACUGGGUCUAAUACCGGAUAGGACGAUGGCUUGGAUGCCAUUGUGGAAAGUUUUUUCGGUGUGGGAUGAGCUCGCGGCCUAUCAGCUUGUUGGCGGGGUAAUGGCCUACCAAGGCGUCGACGGGUAGCCGGCCUGAGAGGGUGUACGGCCACAGUAGGACUGAGAUACGGCCCAGACUCCUGCGGGAGGCAGCAGUGGGGAAUAUUGCACAAUGGGCGCAAGCCUGAUGCAGCGAGGCCGCGUGGGGGAUGACGGCCUUCGGGUUGUAAACUCCUCUCGCUAGGGACGAAGCGUUUUUGUGACGGUACCUGGAGAAGAAGCACCGGCUAACUACGUG